CUUCAUUGGUUCAUAUUUUACAAAAUGUCGAGAAACAAUCUGUUUUUAUUUCUUAAUUCUGGUUCUUCCACUUGAGUCAAGACCUCAUUCAAACAAACAUAAAGCAUCAUCCUUACAAGGUAAAAUACUCUGGUCUAAAUCCUCUAGUGUUUACCGUUAAAUGGUUUUUUUUUUUUUCAUUAAAUGGUUCUUAGUAGUUUGUUCACCUGUUCUUCAUCUUUUAGUCAUCUUUUAGGGAGUUGAACAUGAAAUUCAAUGUCUGUGUUGUAAAUCCAUUGUGUAUGUAUAUGUAUUGCUGGCUUAACUUCAAUGAUUAGGACAAUAAACUGAUUUUUAGCUAUAUUUGUUUCUUUCAUAAACUGAGCAUUUUAGUUAGAUAUAUAUAUGUUCUGUCUAAAAUGAAUUUCAUUUGCUGUGUUUUAAAUCCAUUUUUUGUGUAUAUGUAUUGCUGGCUUAACUUCAACGACUAGGAAAAUAUUUUUAGCCAUAUUUGCUUCUAUCAUAAAACAUUUUUAGUUAUGUAUCGGUUCUGUCUAAAUGAAAACAUAGAAAAAGGUUUUUAUUUUAUGAAAAAACAAAGAUAGAAUAGGUUGCCUAUAAAAUGCUUUUGAUUUUUUUGUAAAUAAUAUAUGCAUAUACCAAAAAUGAUAAACGAAAAAAAAACGAUUGUAAUGGAAUAUUGAUUUUCGUUAAUUAAUUUUGCAAGGGUUGAUGAAGAAGGGAAAACAAAGCCUUUGGGACUCUAUCCAGCGUGUUGCAAUCAAGCUUUGCUAGCCUUUGUUGAAUUUUACUAGAUUGUGCAUGUGGCAAUCUAGUGAUUUUGUAUCUUUUUUCUUUCCUGAUAAGAUACAUGGAUGUGUAUAAAUGGGCGUAUAGUGAUGUGUAAGGUGCGUAUAGAUGAAUGUAUAGGCGUAGAUGAAUGUAUAGAUGCAUGUAUAGGCGUAGAUGAAUGUUUAGUGAUGUGUAAGGUGUGCGCAUAGAUGAAUGUAUAGGCAUAGAUGUAUGUAUAGGCGUAGAUGAAUAUGUAGGUGUAGAUGGGCGUAUUAGUAGAGUGUGUGAGCGUAGAACAUUAGACAAACGAGGGACAAAAAUGCGCAACGCGGGCCGUAGCCAAAGAAAAAACGCGAAGCUUAACAAAACACAAAAAAAAAACAGACGCCAAAUCGCAAAGUCAAAGCGACAUAGUCGAAACAUGUAACAAAUGGCAAAAACAAAUAAAGCAUAGUUGAAACUCUAACAAAGACAAGAUUAAUCCGUGUCGAAAGACAAAAUUAAUCUAAGUCGAAAUUAUCAAAAACACUUUAAAAAUAAAAAACAACUGAAAAAGUUAUUAAAGCGACUUC